rnacentral:lncRNA from 1 species
CAGUCAAGCUAAUUUAAUUAUUUGACAAUAAGAGAAGAGAUUAAUCGAUAAGUCAUAAAUCCUCCUACUAACUUCACCCAAUAAUAAAGAAGACUAUAGACAAGCCAGGCCUAGAGAUACUUAAAUCAGUCACACUGAUUUACCUCCAUGGCUUAGGUCAGCUCGAAUCAAUUAGUGACCUAAUCAAAAUAUAAUCUACAAAAUUGGCUAGGUAAG